GGGGAAUUUUGGACAAUGGGCGCAAGCCUGAUCCAGCCAUUCCGCGUGCAGGAUGAAGGCCUUCGGGUUGUAAACUGCUUUUGUACGGAACGAAACGGUCUGCCCUAAUACGGUGGGCUAAUGACGGUACCGUAAGAAUAAGCACCGGCUAACUACGUGCCAGCAGCCGCGGUAAUACGUAGGGUGCAAGCGUUAAUCGGAAUUACUGGGCGUAAAGCGUGCGCAGGCGGUUAUAUAAGACAGAUGUGAAAUCCCCGGGCUCAACCUGGGAACUGCAUUUGUGACUGUAUGGCUAGAGUACGGCAGAGGGGGAUGGAAUUCCGCGUGUAGCAGUGAAAUGCGUAGAUAUGCGGAGGAACACCGAUGGCGAAGGCAAUCCCCUGGGCCUGUACUGACGCUCAUGCACGAAAGCGUGGGGAGCAAAC
rnacentral:rRNA from 1 species